rnacentral:lncRNA from 1 species
AUCAAUAUUUGGUUUCACAAACUUUGUUGUUGUGGCUUUAAUCUAUUUGGUUUGGUAUUUACAUGUCACAAAUCAUUAUCACUCUAACACAAAAGUACUUUAUAAGGUAAGUUUACUUUCUCUAGUAAAUUGCACCAAGUCAUUGAUAAGUGCCUACAUUUGUGUACCUAUAAUUCCAUUGACCUCAACUUUUAAAUGCAGUAGGAGUGCUUAAAAAUGGCUGGGCAGCUAUUAGAUUCAAGGAUACCAACAUGAAACACCUUCUCAAUACAACAACAACAUUAGUUUCUCACUGUUCUUCAUGCUAAGUUUUUCCUCUGAGUAAGUUUCCUUUGACAUUUGAUUCUGCUUUUUAUGUUAGGAUCCUGCUUUACUGUCGUGAAGAAUUUGGAUAAACAUUUUCUCACCUCAAAAUCUUAAAUUUGUGAUGUUUAAUUUUAUUAUUUGAAUGCAAAGUUAAGGGUUGUACUUAGCCAUUCGAUUAGAAUAAAGUAUGAGUAGGAGUUUUGAAGGAAACUGAAUCCAGUUUUCUGAUUUUUGUCUUUGCAUUCAACUUCAUUAUAGUCAUCCAUGUGGUGUCUCUUCUACGUAAUUAUUAAUCUUAACACACGUGCAUGUUGAAUGGACACGAUUGGAUCUCACACGGUGUAGACAUAUAUGUUGUCGUCUUUAUGCGUGUUCUUCAUUGACUUUUGCAUGUCAUACAUGCACCUAUAAAUAUCACACCAUUUUUUAUUAGAAAAAAAUCACAGCAUAAUAUUCAUGAUUGAUUAAGAAAUGAGGUUUUUUAUAUACCUUAUCUUUUAAACACUGAUUUAACAUGCAUUAGUGUUUUAUAUUCCUCUUUUUCUUUUUUUUUUAUAUCAUUUUUUUUUCUUUUAUUCUCUUGCUAGGUAUGAAAUAGAUUUUUAAGUGACUCGAAAUUAUUUUUGUUUCUGAAAAGUGACAAAUAAAUUCUCGUGUUUAUAUGUAUUCGACCGUUAAAUUGUAAUUAUAUAUUGUUGCAGUUUAAUAUUAAACAAAAACAAAGAAUUUAUAUUACAUUUUGAAAAAGAUACAUUAUGAUGAUUAAGAUAUUAAAUAAUUUUAUAUUGAUAAAAAAAUUGUAAAUAUGAUUUGGAUAAAAAAAUAAUCUAAUAGUGGAUUUAAAAAAAAUGGAAUAAGAAGAAAGUGUAAUAUUUGAAAAAGAAAACAUAAAUUAAACUCUAAUUCAUUACUGUUUUUGUUUUAUCUUAUGACAAUAGUUUAACAUGAAUGUUUUGGGAAAUUCAAUAUUUUAGAUAAAUUAAGACUUUGGAAAUUUAGGGAAAAAAAUCAAGAAAAUAAGCUAUUGCAAUAAAAAAAACAUGUACCUUUAUUUCUGUUACUUUGAUAUGGUGUGUCAAUUAUUUAGAUUAAAUUAUUUAUGAAACAUAUUUAAUUAAAUUGACUAAACUUAUAAUAUAAAGUAUGUUUGGCCAAUAAAAUUUAUUCAUUUAAAUUCCCUUUGAAAUCUACUAAAAUUUUGAAAUUAUUACCACAUUAAGCUGUUUAACAAAGCUCACAUGGUCACCUUUUCACUAAAAUUUUCAUUUUAAUUUGGGAAAAACAUAUUUCUAUUUUUCCAUGAAAAUAAUUUUGUAGAAAAAGCCAAUGAAAAUAUUUUAGAAAAAGAAUUAGUUAAAAAUCAUUCCCAAAACAUAGAGUGCUAAAAAGUCGACCUGAUGAGAAACAGUUUUUCAAUGAGGUUCUUUAAAAACAUAAAAAUCUCAUCUCAUCUUACAAGAAAAAUUCCUGUGAAUUACAGUCCACUUCCAAAAAUCAUGGCUUCAAAUUUAUGUCAAUGUUACUAUUUCCAUAGUUUGGUGAAAAACUUCAACCAAAUCCACAUUUUACAUAGGCUUUCAGCAAGAACGAUCUGAAUAAAAUGCAACUCCCGGGGCCUUUAGGGCUACUAGUACAAUCAUGCAAAACAUGGAUGAGAUGAGAUAGGAUAUAUAAACUAUAGAUUGAAGGAAUAUGAAAGAAGGGUGUACAAAAAGAUUAAAGGCCAUUGUUUCAUCUAAGUAAAAAUCACUUCAUCAAAUGCAGCAGAUGAUACAAAUUGCAACUUGACAAAGCGACCCCUAUGCACAAAUGUAAAUGAAUAUAAUGCAGCGGACUUACAAGAGAUUAAUCAAGAGGAUAUGGCACUUGAAGGAACCAAAAAAGGAAAAUGGAAAGAAAACUUUUAUAGCUAAAAAACAAGUCAUAAAUAAAUCCAUUCUUUUCUUUUCUUUUUUUUUCUUCUUAAUUUACUACUGUGCCCAGGUCACCUUGGACCAGAUAACUCAACUGCAUGCAGAUUUUCAGUCGAGUCCACAAUCCAGUCAGAAUUGGAAUGAGGGGCCAGCUCCACCUCUUGCCGGAGAACUUCCACCUUUUGCCACUCAUCCCAUCUCUCUGCCAAGCCAUCACCUUCAAGCAUUCUCACCACUUCUGACAUCUUUGGUCGGUCCAUAGGGGAACCUUGCGUGCAGAGCAGUGCAACCUGGAUUAAUUGUUCUACCUCAGCUUCUAUGUAAUUGUUUUGUAGAUCAGGAUCAACCAACAUUUCAAGCUUUUUCUCCUUCAGGAGUCCUUUUACCUGUGAAAAUAUUCAGCUGUAUUAGAUUUACAUACAUUACAAUACAGAAAAGGGA